ACGAAGAGAAAGACGUAAAAGAAUACUUUGAUUUAUUUUUUCGUCCGGAAAAUGCAAAUAUAUAUGUGUAUGGUGAUGUGAACACAGACAUUACACAAAGUUUAAUAAAUAACAAGUUUAAAAAUAUAAUAAAAAAAAAAUUAACAAAAGAUGAUCAAAUAUAUAUGGAUAUUUUAACAGAAAAUACUUUAAGGAGUACAAAUAAAAAUUUGCCAGCUGUUGUUCAUAAGUUUAGUGACAAUUUGUUGGAUAAAACUGCAAAUAUUUGUAAUAAUGGAAGUAAUAUUACAUCCGAAAUGGAGAUAAAAGAAUCUAACUGUUUUAACACUGACCAGAAUAAAUCAAAUGAGUCAGCAAAUCUGGUCAACUUAAUUCAACCAACCUUUUUACAUGACCCACCCGAACCCCCUUGUGAAUAUAUAGAUGAUAAUAUUGUCGAUAGUGAAAAAUUUAAAGAGUUAACAAAAAAUCCUGACCCAAUUAUAAAUGAAUUAAAAUUCAGAUCUUAUUUAGAAAAAAAAUAUGCUGUUAAUUUAGAAGAAGAAAAAAGCUUAAAUAAGUCAAACAUAAAAAAUAACGAAACCCUUUUUGAAAUUUUUAAUUAUGCAUUAAACAAUGUUACUAUCAACAUUUUAGCAAAAGAAAAAAUAAAAGGAAUUAAAACAAUGCAAGAUUUAAAAAUUUCGAUUAUAAAAGACAUUAUAUUUUAUUGUUUAUCUUUUAGGUUCAAUAUCCAAAGACAACAUCUGUUUAACAAUAUCGACAUAAAUGAAUAUACUAACAUAAAUGAAGGUGCAACUAUAAAAACUAUAGAAAUUAAAACAAAUGUACAAACUUUUGAUAAAACAAUUCAAAUGUUUUAUAAUUUUAUUAAAAGUUUAAUGCAAUAUGGGUUUAGUAAUGAUGAGUUGGAAAAUUAUAAAAUUAAUAAAAUGUAUGAUGAUUUGUGCGAGGAUAGUUACACCGAUGUUGUGGAAACGGGUUCUACAUCUGGGAGUGAUACAACUACAACUACUACUACUACUACUACUACUACUGCAACUACUACCACUACUACUACCAAUACUACUAUCACACCCCACAGUGGUAAAAAUAGUAAAUUGAUCCACCCCGAAAAAGAAGACGAAUUUAUACAGGACAAUAAAAUAAACGAAACGUAUGCUGAUGAAAUACAAAAAAUAAUCGAUUAUAAUUCAUGUAAGCAUAUUUAUAUGAAUGAAAAAAGAGAAAAAAUAAUAAGAAAACAAAUAUUUAAUAAUUUAACAAUCGAAGAAAUUAAUUUAUUUGCUAAGAAUUAUUUCAAAUAUUUAUUUAAUGUAUUUACUCAAAAUACAAAUUUUAAACCAAAUUGUAUUAUUGUUCAUGUACCUAAUGAAUCUUCUCACUUAUUUGAUAAACAAAAAAUCAAAAAAUUGUUUUAUAAUAAUAUAUAUUCAACUGAACAUGUUCCUGACUAUUCUUUUAGUAUUCAAAAUAAAUUAUUAUCAGAUAAUUACAUUUUUGAAAAUAUAACAAAAAAUGUGAAUCAAUCCAAAUAUAUAAACAACAAAAAUAGAAGUGCUAAUCUUAAUAAUAGCAAAACUAUUUUUGAUUAUAUCUUUCACAAAUUAGAAAAUAUAAAAAAUAACAACACAUUGACACAGUUGAGUUAUGGUAGAGAUAGUAGUACUACCGAAGGAUAUAGCCCCUAUAGCGACAAUAACAUUUUAUGUUCUAUUCACGAUUUAAAUACAAUUCCUAACUUUAAUUUUUUUCAAAAUUGUUAUAAUAUAAAUAAUAUACAACUAAAAAACGAACUAGGUGAUCAUACAGAACACAUAACUGAUAGAACAGAAUUAUAUUCGUUAAAACGGGGGGAGCAAAAUGAAAAAUAUUUAAAAUUGAAAAAAAAAAAAAAAGACAUAAACGGGUAUGACAGGCUAUAUACAGAUACAGAAAGGUCAUCUAAUAUGGAUAAGGAGUUAACCAAUACUUUUACAGACGUACCACAUAAUACUUUUACAGACGCACCAUACUACACAUCCCCGACGCAACAACAAAUCCAAAACUUCGAAUUAUUAAACGGAAUAAAAAUAAAUAUAUACAAAACCCAAAUCGAUAAACAUAAUAUGUACAUAAAAUUAAUUAUUCCCCAUAAUGACAUAUUAAAAAAUAAAAAAGAUAAAACAUUCCUUUUACUAUUUUCUAUAAUUUGUUUAUUUGAAGGGGGGGAAAUUGAAAACAUAGACAGAGAAAAAGUAGAAAUACAUUGUAGCAACAAAAAUAUCAAUAUUAUGAUUGAUGUAAAUGAUGAAUAUUUUUAUAUUGAUAUUUAUACUUAUAAUAAAUAUGAGAAUAUGCAUUCUGCCUUUUCUAUAUUAAACAAUAUUAUAGUACAAACCAAAAUUGAACCAUCAGCUUUACAUAGAGUGGUCGAUAAAUUGAAGAAGGAUUACUAUGAAUAUAGGAACAACCUCCAGUCCUUUUUAAUAGGCCAAACACUGUCCUACAUAUCCGACAACAAACUCGGAUACCAAAAUUUUGACUUACAACUGUUAGAGAAGAUAACUAUUGAAGAUGUCAAUAUCGUUUUAAACAACUUAUUUAACGAUUUAUCUUUGUUUGAAGUUACUAUAGUUGGUGAUGUUACAGAUUUUAUACAUUAUUAUAUUCGUCAUUACUUAGGUACUAUAACAAAAAAUAAAGAAGAAAAAAAAAUUACAAAUUUUGAUAUAUUAAAUAAUCAAAAAGAAGUAACAAAUGUUGUAAAAAAAUCGAACAUGAUGAAUAAUGAAAUUGUCGAAAGUUACAAUAGUAGUUCUACCAAAACAGUAACAAAUGAAAAAAUAAAUGAUAUAACAUAUGAAUAUAAUUUAUUAUGUCCGUUAGUAAAGUUAGAACAAAAAUCAAAACAAACUACAUAUGUAUAUCUAAAUGACAAAGAAGAACACGCUGUUUUUUUAUUAAUGGGUAAAAGUGCUAACAAUUUUGGCUUUCUCCCAAACGGGGUACAUAUAUCUAUUUAUUUACUACAAUUUUUAAAAAAAAUCGAAUAUCUUAUAAACAACAAUAAUAACAACAAUAACAACAGUAAUAAUAACAACAGUAAUAACAGUAAUGAUAGACAACAGAUAAGUGAUAAAGAAAAAAAUAUGAUCGACAUCGAAUUAGAAAAAAUAAAAAGCUACAUAGAUAUCAACGAUUUUAGCAAAACCCAAUUUGACGAAUUUAUGGAAAAAAAAAAAAAGUUAUAUACAAACCCUAUUUUUUUUUCUGCUGUAUCAUAUAUAAUUCAAUAUAUAUUAAACAGUAAGUUUUUUCAUUAUUUAAGAGAAAAAAAAGAUUUAACAUAUGAUUCAUCAUUUGAAUUU
rnacentral:lncRNA from 1 species